UAAGGAAUAUUGCGCAAUGGGCGACAGCCUGACGCAGCGACGCCGCGUGGGGGAUGAAGGUCUUCGGAUUGUAAACCCCUUUCGGCAGGGAAGAUGGAACGGGUAACCGUUCGGACGGUACCUGCAGAAGCAGCCACGGCUAACUUCGUGCCAGCAGCCGCGGUAAUACGAAGGUGGCAAGCGUUGUUCGGAUUUACUGGGCGUACAGGGAGCGUAGGCGGUUGGGUAAGCCCUCCGUGAAAUCUCCGGGCCUAACCCGGAAAGUGCGGAGGGGACUGCUCGGCUAGAGGAUGGGAGAGGAGCGCGGAAUUCCCGGUGUAGCGGUGAAAUGCGUAGAGAUCGGGAGGAAGGCCGGUGGCGAAGGCGGCGCUCUGGAACGUUUCUGACGCUGAGGCUCGAAAGCGUGGGGAGCAAACAGGAUUAGAUACCCUGGUAGUCCCUGAGCGGGCUGGCAAGGCGCAU
rnacentral:rRNA from 1 species